rnacentral:lncRNA from 1 species
AUUCACAAAUCAUAUAUCUAAUAGGAGGUUAACGUCCAAAAUACAUAAAGGGCUCAAACAACUCAAUUGCAAGAACAAACAAUCUGAUUUUUUUAAUGGGCAGAGGAUUUGAAUAGAUAUAUUUUCAAAGAAGACAUACAAAUGGCCAACAAGUACUCAGAAAAGUGCUCAAUAUCACUAAUUGUCAAGGAAAUGCAAAUCGAAACUACAAUGAGAUGUCACCUCCCACUUGUUAAAAUGGGUAUCAUGAAACAGGCAAGAGAUAAACAAGGGUUGGCUGGGAUGUGGAGAAGAGGGAACUCUUGUGCACUGUUGGUGGGAAUGUAAAUUGGUGUAGCCGCUAUGGAAAACAGUAUGGAGUUUCCUUAAAAAAGUUAAAAAUUCAAGUAUUGUAUGAUCCAGCAAUCCCGCUUCUGGUUGUAUAUUCAAAAAAAAAAAAUGAAAACAAGACAUUGAAGAUAUAUCUGUGCUGCCAUGUUCAUUGCAGCAUUAUCUACAAUAGCUAAAACAUUGAAACAAUCUAAGUGUCCAUCAAUGGAUGACUGGAAAAAGAAGAUGGAAUAUUAUUCAGCCAUGGGCAAGAAGGCAGUUUUGCCAUUUGUGACUACAUGGAUGGAUUUUUAAGGCCAUAAUGUUAAGUGAAAUGUCAGGCAGAGAAAGACAAAUCAUGUACAGUAUCAUUUAUAUGUAAAUUUAAAAACAACACAGACUAAAAACUCCGCAUAAAAACAGAGGGAGAAAAAAGUGGUUGCCAGGGGCCGGGGUGUGGGGUAAAUAGGGAGAAGUUGGUAGAAGGGUACAGAGUUUAAUCUGUAUGAUGAAUAGGUUCUGAGGACCUGAUGUAAAACUCCUGGAAUAGAGAAAUCCUGUGCUCACGUAUCCUGUUCUCAAGCAGAUCUCUGUAUGGAGGGAGCAGCAAUCAGCAGUGUUUGAAGUCAUGAGUGAUCAUGAGGAUCAGUUUAGGCUGGGACCAAGAUCUAGUUGAAUCUUUGUUAUUAGCAAAUAUAAUUUAGUAAACAAAAGCACACAUACUGCAGUAAGGGCAUUCAGGCAGGCAUUAUAACUUUGUCAGCAGGGGUUUUGGGGUAAACUUUCUAAAAGAAUCAUAAUUUGCCCCAGUAAUGAAAAGCUGCUUUUAUCUGUUCAAGUAUAACUGUAAGUUCCCACUUAUUUAUCAUUGUCCACAGCGUAAUCUAUCCCUGUUUUUGUGUAAUUCAAAUCCAGUAAGAAAGAACAGAAAUCUGAAUGUGUUUUUGUAAUGUUUGGGCCACUUUCCCUUCAAGACAAAACAAAGAUAGACACUUAUUCUGCUUUUUAGGAAAAACUAUUUUACUAAUAGAUACAGUUAUAAUGAAACAAAUGCAUGUUUCAAGAGUUUCUUUUUUAACUUCAAAAGAGUUUUAUCAUUGAAGCACAUUAUCACUUUGUCAAGAAUAAUUAUUAUAUAAGAGCAGAUUAUUAUAUAACAUUUUACCAAUAUUUUGACUUUCAUUUUCUUAUAUAUUUUUAAAAGAAAAAGCCCCAAAUUAGAAAUAAAAUUCCAAUUUUUAUUGCUAUAUCUUUUGUACUAUGGAACUUAAUUCAGUGUUUCUUUUUACUCAUUUAAUACUCAUAAUUUAUGUCAUGUUUAAAAAGGAAAGGUCAUAUCUAUGUUUUAUAUAUUAAUGGACAUUAACAUUAUAUUAUAUAAUUGCAUAUAUUAUACUUUUUGUACAACAGAUCUUAUUUAAAUAUCUUGAUAUUCUUUAGAAAUUAUCCCUGCCUGUGAUUAUUUCUUCCAGUUGAUAAAAGAAUUCCUGGUUACACAUUAAGGUCUCUAUUAUCACUAGUCCUAAGCAGAGAACCUUAAAAUAAGAGGACCUUUUUACUCAGCCCUUUCUGUUUAGUCAUUUUAAAAAUUACUUAUAUUUCACUAAAUCAUGGAUAUUGAGUAUUUUCCAAUCUCCUCCUGCCAAUUACAUUCUGGUGUCUGAUACAUGCACUACCCCUUGCCAGUUAUAUGUCAUCCAAAGAGCACUCUGAGACUUGUCUCAAGGCUUCAGCAUGCUGUGGCCAACUCAGGUUCAUACUAUAACCUGACCCCUUAACAAUCCCUUAAUAUUAUCAGGAUGUAGUCUCAGGUCUAUGCACUUCACUCACUAAAUUCUUCCAUAGUCAUAAGUAGUAAGACGCCUGUGAAUGUCUGAUAUGCACUGUGAGUGCCUGGCAAGAAAGCAUAUUUGAGUGGCCCCAAUAAUUUAGGCAGGUAUUCCAAGUAUACCCCUCUAAUCUGUUAAAUAUUUGGAGCCUACUUGAGGCUCAUAUUUACCAUUUUAAAAAUUAUUUUUAAUCAGACUUUUUAAGGUAAAAGUUACAUAUAAGAAAAUUCACCAGUAAGUGUACAAUUUGAUGGAGUUUGACAGUAUUCAUGAUAUAACACUCUAUCACUGAACCAAACAGUUCCCUUGGGCCUCUAGCUGUCAAUCCCUUCCCACUAACCCUAGCUCCUGGCACCUACAAAUUUAUUUUCUCCCACUAUAGACCACCAUUUUCUGGACACUUAAUAAAAAUGGAGUAACCUGGUAUGUAGCCUUCAGUGUCUAACUUCUAAGCACGUUUCUGAAAUUCAUUCACGCUUUUGCAUGAAUUGGUAGUUCAUCUCUUUUUGUUGUGGUGUAUUACAGCUUCAUGGAUAUGCAAAAAUUUGCUUACUCAUCUACCAGCUGACAGACAUUUAGACUGUUUUUAAUGUUUUACUAUAAGUAAUAAACAGUGCUACUAACAUUUGAAUACUAUUUUGUGAAGGUAUGUUUCCAUUUCUCUUGGGUAACUAUCUAGUAACAGGAUUGCUGGGUCAUACGGUGCAUGUUUAUAUAUGAAACUUCUCAAAGUUGUAUGGUUUUUUAUAUUGCUUUUAGUUUUUAUUUUUUGUCAUUGGAGAGUGUACUUAUUAUUCAUAUAAAAUUGAGGAAAUAUAUAAAGGAACAAUAAUUGCAUUAGAUUUGUGGUUAAGAUACCCCGAUGUAUGCGUUGUGAUUGUAAAUUAAGUGUAUUUUUCCAAAGGUAUUUGACUAUAGACUAGAAGAAUUUCCUGGUGGCCACUUUAACUUUUUUCCAUUUGUUGGAAAUGAACUCUGCUAAAUAGAGAAGGAGAGGCAGGUACAGAAUGAGAGAGAGAGAAACAUUAGAGAAAUAUAAACUAAAGUGAGCAAGAAGCUGAUUUUUUUUUUUUACUUCUAGUGCAGAUUUCCUACCAACUCGACAGUAUUUACCUUUAGAUUAAUUUAUUCAAGAGCUUUUAAAGCAUCUAAUAAAUACAGAGUCUGUGAACAAGGAAUGUUUAAUACUCAACUCUGUGAACAAGGAAUGUUUCAGAGUUCCCAUUGUGGCUCAGCAGAAAUGACUUUGAUUAGUAUCUUUGAUUCCUGGCCUUGCUCAGUGGCUUAAGGAUCUGGCAUUAAUGUGAGCUGUGGUGUAGGUCACAGACACAGCUCGGAUCUCAUGUGUCUGUGGCUGUGGCAAAAGCUGGCAGUUGCAGCUCAGAUUUGACUCCUAGCCUGGGAACUUCCGUAUGCUGCAAGUGUGGCUCUAAAAAGAAAAAACAAAAGUAAUGUUAUUAGACAGUAACAUUUUAGGUAGAAAUUUUCAUGGAUUUUUUUCUUGAAUAAAAUAGAGAUGAUGUAGAAGAAAAUGGAAAAAUGGGGCACAAUAGUGUAACAAAGGCCUGACUAGAAUUCAUAACGAUGCGAGUUUGAUCCCUGGCCUUGCUCAGUGAGUUAAGGAUCCUGCAUUGCCAUGAGCUAUGGUGUGGGUCUCAGAUGGGGCUCAGAUCCUGAGUUGCUGUGGCUGUGAUGUAGGCUGGCAACUGCAGCUCAGAGUCGACCCCAGCCCAGGAACUUCCAUAUGCUGCAGGAGCAGCCAU